CGGCGAGUUACGAUUUGAUGCAAGGUUAAGCAGUAAAUGUGGAGCCGUAGCGAAAGCGAGUCUGAAUAGGGCGUUUAGUAUUUGGUCGUAGACCCGAAACCAGGUGAUCUACCCUUGGUCAGGUUGAAGUUCAGGUAACACUGAAUGGAGGACCGAACCGACUUACGUUGAAAAGUGAGCGGAUGAACUGAGGGUAGCGGAGAAAUUCCAAUCGAACCUGGAGAUAGCUGGUUCUCUCCGAAAUAGCUUUAGGGCUAGCCUCAAGUGAUGAUUAUUGGAGGUAGAGCACUGUUUGGACGAGGGGCCCCUCUCGGGUUACCGAAUUCAGACAAACUCCGAAUGCCAAUUAAUUUAACUUGGGAGUCAGAACAUGGGUGAUAAGGUCCGUGUUCGAAAGGGAAACAGCCCAGACCACCAGCUAAGGUCCCAAAAUAUAUGUUAAGUGGAAAAGGAUGUGGCGUUGCCCAGACAACUAGGAUGUUGGCUUAGAAGCAGCCAUCAUUUAAAGAGUGCGUAAUAGCUCACUAGUCGAGUGACACUGCGCCGAAAAUGUACCGGGGCUAAACAUAUUACCGAAGCUGUGGAUUGUCCUUUGGACAAUGGUAGGAGAGCGUUCUAAGGGCGUUGAAGCAUGAUCGUAAGGACAUGUGGAGCGCUUAGAAGUGAGAAUGCCGGUGUGAGUAGCGAAAGACGGGUGAGAAUCCCGUCCACCGAUUGACUAAGGUUUCCAGAGGAAGGCUCGUCCGCUCUGGGUUAGUCGGGUCCUAAGCUGAGGCCGACAGGCGUAGGCGAUGGAUAACAGGUUGAUAUUCCUGUACCACCUAUAAUCGUUUUA
rnacentral:rRNA from 1 species